UAUAUUUUUCAACAAUAAUCCUUUUUUCUAAAUACAUUGUUUCUCAACUUCAGUAUGAAAAUCCAGAAAGCGUACCUUGUCCUUAUAGCCUUGGAGUUAACUUGUAUUGGAAUUAAGUAUGGAGUCUCCAACACCAAUAAUCCUUUUCAACAAUCAAGGUUUCUUAUGCUUUUCCUCACUGCUAUAUUUUCCCAUGUCCUUGCAUCUACCGCUGAUAUGACCAAACAAAUUAUCAUCAUAACGUUUCACAUGUCAGGGAUAACUGGAUGUGAAACACUCCUGUGGAUUCUCAUUCAUGACUUUAUGUGCUAUUUUAUGGUCAACUUGCUUCUUUUACUUCUAGCCAAAUUCUUCUUCUUCAACCAAGUCGCUCAGCUGGUCGUUUACUUCUUCAAAUACAUCAGUCAGCUGCUGCUCCAAGUUUCAGGUUAUAUUGAUCAGAUGCGAAAUGUGGAGCAGCAACCGCAGGAUCAGGUGUAGCAUAUGUAACACAGCCUGGUCUCAUCAAUAUAUUUAUAUAUAGGUUUUUACUUGUGUUUCUGCCUUUUUGCUACAUAUUAUGUAGUCUUAUUUUUCUCCAAAAAUAUGUUCUGUUGCUGUGCUAGUUCCUUUUUAAAAUUUAUAAUGAUUAAGGGGUUAGACUAAUCCUAAAAUCGUGUGGUUAUUGACAGCAAAAUAAACCAGGCUGUUUUAGUUUUACUUUGAUAUUCUGUAAAAGUUGGAUUAAUUCGAUAUACACAUUAUCAUUUUGUUGGACUUAACAGUAGCUAAACUGGACUGUUCGUAAUCAUGGACCAAUUGGGAUACGUAAUUCAUGAUGGUAAACGUUCUAGUUCUAUAUAACGUGAUUGUUGAUUACAAAAGAAUUCCUAUCGUAAAAAAAAAUGGCUUCCCCGUACUAGGAUUCUUGAUGAUGUUACGGACUAAUCUUGCUCGUGUUGGACCAAAUUCAAUUGUGCAGCGUUAGUUCCACUAAGAGAGAUGCUUUAAGUGGAGACUUUUGGCAAAAGCAUAUUGAAUAGGUCAACAUUUACAUAAGAAUUCCUAUAGUAGGAAAAACAAGAAUCCCCAUAAGAGCAUUCUCGAUGAUGUUGAUCGAAGUAGUUUCAACUGUCAUCAGAAGCUUUCUAUGUAGGAUGCCAAAAGAACUGAACUAAAAACACCUUAUGUUGCAGAAAACUAUUAAAAAGAGCAAGGACUUGUAUUUAGAAGUUUUCUGCCAUGAAUGAAUUUUAUUAACUUCAGCUUUUCCUGGACAGGCACAGAACUCAGUCUUAAACUUCAAAGUCACAACUGCGAAAUAAGUCUGCCCUAAAUAUCUCAGCAUAUAAUUGAGAUUUAUCCUUGAACAUCCAAGUUUAGUCCUAAGAGAUUCACUUGUGUUCUUGGUUAGAGUGUCGGUCAUGGUCAUAAUGUAUGCCAACUGGUUUCCAGAAUUAACUCAACUAACUUAUUCCUCUCCCUCUUGGGUUGGAUAAAAUAUAAAUAAUAUAUAUGUUUAAACAUUUUUAGAGAUGGUACUAGCUUGUUAUGGUGUUGUUCCUACUGAGAUAUUUUAUGUUUCAGCAGAUGAUUGAGUUGGGCAACUACUUUUUUUUUUUUGUUUCUGUUUAUCAUAUUUACUAUCAUCACUUUGCCUCAGCAUGAAUCAAAUAAGAUGCAUCUGUUUUGAUCAACUGUGGUUGUAAGGUUUCUGGCUAAUGUUGGAUAAAAUUCAAUUGUGAAGUCGAUUUCUGCUCUAAGAAAUUCUUUAGGUUGAUAGUAUUGGGGAAAAUCAUAUUGUGUACUGUAGGCCAAUAUGAUAGAUUUCUCCAACAGGAUUCUUUUGGUUUGUGCUUCAUAAUGUUGUUGAUGGACUACAGAAGGUGCAACUAAAUAGUAGAAGCCUACAAUUGGUUUGGCUCUGGUGUUAGGGUAAUUAUAAAUCGAAAAAUAAAUAAUCCUGGUAAAAUAGAUUGAUGCUAAAAAGAGAACAGAGCAUAUGUUUCUGCAAACUUGUCAAUCAUACAUUUCUGUCACUGCUGAAUAUCAUUUACUUAAGUUAUAAUGGGCACACAGACGAACUUCUGCAUAAACAUUAACAAACCCCAAACUCAGUCCUAAACUUAAGGAUCUAACAUCUUUUGCUUCUGGAAUGUCUGUCACAAAAUUUCCCACAAUAUAUGAAUACAACUCUUCUCGAGGUUUAUCCUUAAAAAUGCAAGUUUUUUCUAAAGAUAUUCAAGUGUAUUUUUGGUUACAACCUUGGUCAUUAUAUGUGCUAACUGGUUCUCAGAGUUUCUAUGAGCUAGACUAAGCCAGCCUUUUCUCUUUCUUAGAUUAAUGAAACUUAACUUUUAUGUGCCUAGUCCUAUCAUGCUUGACUUGAGUGUUAGGGAUGGCAAUGGUUGACUUAUGAUGAUCCCACGAUAAAAUAGCUUCAUUUCAAUUUUGUCUCAAUUUUAUUUUAUUUUUCCUAUCCAAAUAGCUUGAUUUGUUGCUAAGAUAUUUUCUAUUUCAGCAGAGAAUCAAGUUGAGCGUCACUAUUUGUUUUUGUCUAUCAUAUUUAUUAUCAAGUAUCAACGAAGUGUUUCUUCAUGGAUCAAAUGUCAUGCAUCUUGUAUGACUUAUCAUUAAAAAUGUGGAGAUUAUAGUUUUUCAAGCAUUUGACUCACUCAUUAAGUUUGACUAAUUCCAGGUACUAGAAGAGUAUCAAUGUUUAGCUUUGCACCUGUUGAAGUCUCAACUACAAUUUGUUCCUUUCCUUUGACAUCAAGUAUUCUCCAUUACCCUUGGUCUCAUGAAAUUGUUUGCAUGAGAAGCAAUGAUAUUGGUGCUGCCUUUGUUUAUUAGCCAUGCAUCCAUGCUGCUCUUUAUCAUGCUCUUGAUGUUCUUCAACUUAUCUAUAUGUCCUUGCUGAUUUUUGUUUUGUUUCGCAGACCUUCUCUACAUCCUUGGGGAUUGCAGGCAAUGACAUUUAUUAUAUCAAUUAGUAGAUGAGGACCACUGCUGUGGAACUGAAAAUGAAUGAGCUUGUACUGGCACACUGCUUCUUACAUGAUGAAGAAUCAGCUGUAGAGCAAAUGUCUUGGUCAAUGCUUGACAUGCCAGUAUCUUUGUUAUGAUUUUGAGAGUUAUCCUUGUUCUUCCCCUCCUCUACCAUAUGUUUUGGCCUCUUCCGCCUAGGUGGUUCUGUUUUGGAAUCCUGAAGUGCUGGCACCUUUUGAUCAUUAGCUGAAAUAGUAGCUGAUGGAGCCUUUCCCAGAACCACAACUUUUCGAGUGUCCAAAUUUUCAACAGUGUUAGAGUUGUCUACAACAACUUCAUCCCUUGGUUCAGAGUCAGCUGCUUCAGAUUCCCACAUCUUGAAUAUAGCUUCAGUGAGUCUUUCUCUGGCCAAAUCUAUAUCAAUUAUUGGCUUGGGAUAACUCCUGCUGCUCUAAGCACAGGAAGCGGUGCGUCCGAAGGAUGAUGGAUCCACUCGGUUGACAUUCUUGCCAUCUCAGAAUUCUAUUCCGGUGAACGACUCUAAUGUGUUGGAGAUAAGAAAGACCAAGGGGGUGAAGAUUUUGAGGCGUAAUUCUGCUCUAGGAGCUGCGAGUAGUGGUGGCUCUGUGGCAUAAUUCAAGCACUAGAGUUUGGACCUACCGUGAGAUGGAGAUAGUUGAAGUGGAUGUUGCCCUGUCUCAUGCGUCUGUUCUUGAAGAGUCUCAGCUAAUGAGACAGAAUAUGGAAGAGUGAAACUGAGAACUGCAACAGGCUUAAAAGAACGCAACGAUGGCCAGCCAAGCAACGAAGUCGUUUGAGAAUGUCAUGAGCCAUGGAAUGUGGAGGGCUAUGCAUUGUAUUCUGGGGAUGCUGUCAUUGUUUCAAGAGGAUAAUUUGUGGUCUGAGCAGAAGAUUAUUGGUGAUAUAAUGUUGAAAGUUGGCCAUGUGUUCUCCUCUCCAGUUUGAUUAAUAAUGUAAUGGAAAUUGCAGAAAACGAAAAGGGAGGCUUCCGGUUAGAGAUGAAACCUUUCAUUCAAUGAUGAGGGAAGCUGCUUCCACUGCCAAGUGCUUGUGUGUUUAUGAAGGCUUUGGUUUUGAAAUUGAUGUCCAGAAGUCUUUGCCUGAAACAGUUAUGGGUGAUGAGGCAAGGGCUUUUCAAGAAAUUUUACACAUGAUUGGCUAUUUAUUGAACAUGAAUGACAAAGGGACUCUCAAUUUUUGAGUUUUUCUUGAAAGUGAUGGUGGAGACAGGGAUGAUAAAAAUAUUGGAAUCUGGAGAUCAAGCAGUACAAAUGAGUAUGUACAUAUAAAAUUUGAUUUUCAGAUUACUCGAGUUCUCAGCCAGAUGAAGCAAUUUCAACAAUACAUUAUACUGGUAGGAGGCAGUACUACAACAAUGAAACUAAGGAGGGGUUGAGCUUCAGCAUGUGCAAAAAAUAUGGUACAGAUGAUGCAAGGUAAUAUAUGGAUAUCUCCGAACACCCUUGGCUUGGUGCAAGGCAUGACACUUCUCAAGUUUCAGAUAGGACCAUCUCUUGAAAAAUCCAUAUUUGCACCUAAAGAUUAUUCGAGUUCACAGUUCAGAGGCCUUAAGGCUGUGUUAGCCAAGGAUGAUGGUGUAAACAGGACCGUGACCAAGAAGCUACUUGAGAAGCUUGGUUUUCAUGUAAUUGCUGUUUCAUCAGGAUUUGAGUGCCUGAGUGCUAUCAGUGGUGCUGGUAACUCAUUCAGAAUUAUCCUGUUGGAUCUUCACAUGCCUGAAAUGGAUGGCUUUGAAGUGGUAAAGAGAAUCCGGAAGUUCCAUAGCCAUAGUUGGCCCUUGAUUAUAGCUCUUAUAGCAGUGCAGAUGAACAUGUGAGGGAGAAGAAAUGCCUACUUGCAGGAAUGAAUGGAUUGAUCCAAAAACCUAUCGUAUUUCAUCAGAUUGUAAAAAAUUUAAAGGGUUUCCUAGAUUAUUAAUUAUAAGAAACAGAUAAAAUCUUGAAACCUAUGAUUCUCACAAAUAAUAAAUAAACCAGUAAUGCGUACCUUUCUCCAUAGUGAGUAUUCUCUCCCGUGUACUUUGAUUUUCUUGGAAGAGGAGAGAAAUAAGAUUUCACUCCCUUGAUUGUAGCUUUGUUUCAAUUUAGUUUGAUUUUUUUUAGCCAAAUAGCUUCAUUUGAUGCCAAGACAUUUUCUAUUUCAAGAGUGUCUUAGUGCAAUAAUACACACUUCCUUACAUUCUUUUCUCUUUCAUCUCUACCUAUUGCAAUAAAACUCCU